CCUACGGGAGGCAGCAGUGGGGAAUAUUGCACAACGGGCGCAAGCCUGAUGCAGCCAUGCCGCGUGUGUGAAGAAGGCCUUCGGGUUGUAAAGCACUUUCAGCGGGGAGGAAGGCGUUAAGGUUAAUAACCUUGGCGGUUGACGUUACCCGCAGAAGAAGCACCGGCUAACUCCGUGCCAGCAGCCGCGGUAAUACGGAGGGUGCAAGCGUUAAUCGGAAUUACUGGGCGUAAAGCGCACGCAGGCGGUCUGUCAAGUCGGAUGUGAAAUCCCCGGGCUCAACCUGGGAACUGCAUUCGAAACUGGCAGGCUAGAGUCUUGUAGAGGGGGGUAGAAUUCCAGGUGUAGCGGUGAAAUGCGUAGAGAUCUGGAGGAAUACCGGUGGCGAAGGCGGCCCCCUGGACAAAGACUGACGCUCAGGUGCGAAAGCGUGGGGAGCAAACAGGAUUAGAUACCCGGGUAGUC
rnacentral:rRNA from 1 species